rnacentral:rRNA from 1 species
AUACGUAGGGUGCAAGCGUUAAUCGGAAUUACUGGGCGUAAAGCGUGCGCAGGCGGUUUUGUAAGACAGGGGUGAAAUCCCCGGGCUCAACCUGGGAACUGCCAUUGUGACUGCAAGGCUGGAGUGCGGCAGAGGGGGAUGGAAUUCCGCGUGUAGCAGUGAAAUGCGUAGAUAUGCGGAGGAACACCGAUGGCGAAGGCAAUCCCCUGGGCCUGCACUGACGCUCAUGCACGAAAGCGUGGGGAGCAAACAGGAUUAGAUACCCUGGUAGUCCACGCCCUAAACGAUGUCAACUGGUUGUUGGGGAUUUAUUUUCUCAGUAACGAAGCUAACGCGUGAAGUUGACCGCCUGGGGAGUACGGCCGCAAGGUUAAAACUCAAAUGAAUUGGCGGGG